AAGAUGAUAUUCUACGCCAUGGAAUAGCUUCUGACUCUGUUGUACUUCAGGGGGAAAGCCAAGAAAACAUCGUCGGCCGUAUGAUUGUUGUUUUCUUGGCUUU
rnacentral:ncRNA from 17 species